GCAAAAUCGGCCAGAAAAUGGAAAAGGGCACGUGCCCAUGAUGAUGAUAGAUCUGACUCGGAUCAGAGUGAGGAGUUGUGCUCGGAUGCCCAUGAGUACACCUCUUAUGAGGAAGGGGGCUCCGAUGCUGAGGCAGGGUCUGACGCUGAGGCGCUACCUCCGGGCGAGGGGCAAGACAUGUGCGACCCGCAGGGUUACCCCCUAUUCGAUCCUGAUGAUCUUCGCCAUCCCCGCUCGGCGGAAUGGGACCCACCCAAGCAUAUAGCUAAU